rnacentral:rRNA from 1 species
GAUGAACGCUAGCUACAGGCUUAACACAUGCAAGUCGAGGGGAAACGACAUCGAAAGCUUGCUUUUGAUGGGCGUCGACCGGCGCACGGGUGAGUAACGCGUAUCCAACCUGCCCAUCACUUGGGGAUAACCUUGCGAAGGUAAGACUAAUACCCAAUGAUAUCUCUAGAAGACAUCUGAAAGAGAUUAAAGAUUUAUCGGUGAUGGAUGGGGAUGCGUCUGAUUAGCUUGUUGGCGGGGUAACGGCCCA